AUCUACCCCUUCUGCCAUUACUAAAGCUCUCAGCAAGUCAAAGUACCAUUCCAGGGAAACUACCCUUUCCUCUUCCCAUUCUGACAAUGGGCUGCCAAGUGGCCUGUUCAGCAGCCCAGGCUCCACUUUCAUCCUGGACGAGCGCGUACAGCUAACCGUGGGCCUGCAGACCCAAGAAAGACAUCUGAUUUUGUUCAGUGAUGUGCUGGUCAUCGCCAAGUCCAAAUCCUCCUCCAGCCUGAAGCUGAAAAAGCAGGUGCAUCUGAGUGAAGUGUGGACUGGCACCCAUCUCAGCGAAGUGACAGAGAAAAAGAUGGGUCCUGAGAAUUCAUUUGUCAUCGGCUGGCCUACCACCAACUAUGUUGUCACCUUCAGCUCAGCUGACCUGAAGGAACGAUGGCUGUCAGCAUUACUGUGGCAUAUCAAUGAGGUCAAACAGAAUGAAUAUCUGAAGAAUCUAACCCUUCAGAUCUUUGUGCUGGGUGCUGACAACUGUUCUUCUACUGCUGCAGUCAGUGUCUCCAACGUGGAAACCGCAGAGAGUGUGAUGAAGAAGGCCCUUCUGCAGCUUGGACUUCCUGUAAGUGGCAGGUGCACAGUCUGCCUGAUCUUAGCUAAGGAAGCUGCCAACGUCUGGCUUACUGGACAGUGCAGCUGUGGAGAAGUCUAGAUGUGCUGAACCUAACCAGUAAGGCAUUAAUACUCUCUGGCCUGCAAGAUGAAUCUAUUUGUGUGGGUGCCAAGUAUUAGAAACACAGACAUGCUUAGAU
rnacentral:lncRNA from 1 species